CCCAUUUAGACCAGGAAUAUUUGUUAAAACGUCUUCAUUUUUUCUAACAAUAUCCAUACUUUUCACUAUUAGAUUCUUCCAAAUUUUUAAGAUUCAUGGAUAACUUGGAUAAAUGUAAUUUUAUGAGUGCUGAACCACAUAAAAUUACAUAAAUAAAUAUUAUAUUUCUGUAUUAUCUGUUCCACAGAUUUUCAUGUUUGCGGUAUAAUUGCACAAAUUUUUAUGCUGUUUCUUCACUCCAACGGUUAGACAUUUCGAUUUUCAAAUUUCACUUCUCACAAUUUUACGUACGCGCACGAUA